AUCGAUUGGUCAAACCGGUUAAAUUGCAAACUAUAGAAAAAUUGAUUCGAACAUAUGCCAAAAAUGGGGAUUUGAGAAACCAUCGUUGGAUCAUUGAAUCCGCCAUGAACCAGCCGGUCGAAUCCAAUUGCGACCUAGCCGAUUUUCUGAAUUUAUCUAAAACAGCAAACACGCAUCACUUUCGUUAGGCUAUCAUCUUUGACCUCGAGCUUCUCCUUCCUUUCAUCAUCAUCGAGCUCUUUCUUCACUUUUGUCCAGUCACCAGCAAGCUACCGCCGCCGUCGCAACUUAGAGCUUUGAAGACACCGUUGCAACGUCGUUCCCCUCCAUUGUGCAGCCACCGCUCGAGCUUCAAAACCACCGUCCUUCCCGUCGUCACCAGCUUUGUUCCACCAUAUCAGCCCUUUGGUCGUGUCCUGUCCAGCUCCCUCUCCCUGUUUUGGCAUUUUGAAGUAGAUGACGGUUCAUAUUUUCAGCAUCCCGGCAAGCCCAUAGAGCAAGAAGACCACUUCUACCACCUCGGUUGUCGAGAAAUCAUGGUAGAAUCUUGCAUCAGAUGCAAAAUGCUGGAAAAUUUGGCAAAGGUCCCAAAAAUAGUAAUCGUGGACAUAUGCAUAGGAAACAAUUCCAAAGGCAACAACCGACUCCACAACAGAUCUAUCCAGCUGAAGGGUGAGCGCAACUGCCUUCACAACCAAGUUACUCUUCUCAAUCUUAAUAUUCAGUUAUUUGUUAAAUUUUUUCUUAUCAUAAAUUGUUCACGUUGUUGAUCUUAAAUUAUUGUUUUUGUCAUCGGCUCCUGUAGAUAAAACUUUGUAUGUGAUUAAAUGGCCUGUGAUUAAAUGGUUUGAUCAUUGA